ACGUAGGAGACGAGCGUUAUCCGGAUUUACUGGGCGUAAAGCGCGUGCAGGCGGCAUGGCAAGUUGGAUGUGAAAGCUCCCGGCUUAACUGGGAGAGGUCGUUCAAUACUGCCAGGCUUGAGAGUGGUAGAGGGAAGCGGAAUUCCGGGUGUAGUGGUGAAAUGCGUAGAUAUCCGGAGGAACACCAGUGGCGAAAGCGGCUUCCUGGCCCAUUUCUGACGCUCAGACGCGAAAGCUAGGGUAGCAAACGG
rnacentral:rRNA from 1 species